UACGUAGGAUCCAAGCGUUAUCCGGAAUCACUGGGCGUAAAGCGUGCGUAGGUGGCGUGUUAAGUGUGAUGUUAAAUCGUGGGGCUCAACCCUGUCGAUGCAUCGCAUACUGGCAUGCUAGAGGACGGCAGAGGCAAGUGGAAUUGGUAGUGUAGCAGUGAAAUGCGUAGAUAUUACCAGGAACACCAAUGGCGAAGGCAGCUUGCUGGGCCACUCCUGAGCACUGAGGUACGAAAGCGUGGGGAGCGAACAGG
rnacentral:rRNA from 1 species